UGCCUCUAUGGUGUGGCAGCUGAUAAUAUAAUGGAGGUGCAUACGCCCGGAGCAGGUGCUCUAGCUAACUCUCCGUCUCUCAAUUCUUGUUCUCGCACAAUUUCAGUGAGAGAGAGUGAGACACGCAUUCUUAUUCGAAAGCAAAUUUUGGAGAAAAAGUGAACAAGAGACGGGGGUGGAUAUC
ensembl:ncRNA K01D12.17 ncRNA